rnacentral:rRNA from 1 species
AGGAUGAACGCUGGCGGCGUGCCUAACACAUGCAAGUCGAACGUCCUGUCUCGCAAGAGGCAGGGAGUGGCGGACGGGUGAGUACCACGUGGGUUAUCUACCGUGAGGUGAGGAAUACCGGCGAGAAAUCGCCGACAAGACCGCAUAGGCUCGAUGCAAGUCGAGCAAAGCUCGCUCGCAAGAGGGAGCGCCACACGAGGAGCCUGCGCCCGAUUAGCUAGCUGGUGGAGUAACGGUUCACCAGGGCGACGAUCGGUAGCUGGUCUGAGAGGACGAUCAGCCACACUGGGAUUGAGAACGGCCCAGACUCCUACGGGGGGCAGCAGUGAGGAAUUUUCGUCAAUGGGGGCAACCCUGAACGAGCAACGCCGCGUGCAGGAAGAAGGUUUUCGGAUCGUAAACUGCUUUUCUCGGGGAAGAGAACGGACGGUACCCGAGGAAGAAGCCCCGGCUAACUACGUGCCAGCAGCCGCGGU